rnacentral:tRNA from 1 species
UGGAAUAUAGCUCAGUGGUAGAACAUGUGCCUGGCAGGCUCAAAGCUCUGGAUUCAAUCCUCAGUACUGCAA